rnacentral:rRNA from 1 species
UGGGGAAUAUUGGACAAUGGGCGCAAGCCUGAUCCAGCCAUGCCGCGUGUGUGAAGAAGGCCUUAGGGUUGUAAAGCACUUUCAUUGGGGAGAAAGGCUGUUUAGUUAAUACCUAAGCAGAUUGAUGUUACCCAAAGAAGAAGGACCGGCUAACUCCGUGCCAGCAGCCGCGGUAAUACGGAGGGUCCAAGCGUUAAUCGGAAUUACUGGGCGUAAAGCGCGCGUAGGCGGUUAAUUAAGCGAGAUGUGA